CGAGGACCGAGCACUGUUUCAGGUCUUUUAGGGGAAACAUUGGGAGACGGGGUGCAGGGCUUAUACCGCUGCCCCAUCCCGACCUUCCCCUCUCGGAGCUGGGAGUUCUGGCAUUAGCAGGCUGAGGGGAAGGGGAGGGAGGGAAGGAGCCAAGGGAAGGGGGACCGUGAUGGACAAGGAGAAGCGAGGCCGGGGGAAGGAGAGAAGGAGGCGGGGCGGGGCUGCAGGAGAAGGGGUGAAGCGGGUUAGGGGCAGCGGAAGGUAGGGCAGGACUAGGGGCCCCGGCGGGAAGAGCGGGCUGGGGGCGGGGCCCCAGGUGAGGCUGGAGUGGGCGGCUCCGGGCCCGUUUCCCCGCCCCCUCCUCUUGCUCUUCACCUUCCUCCUCCUUCCCCUCCUUUUCCCCUCCUCCCUCGGCUGCCGCCAGCCGGGCUCGGCCCGGCCCCACCUCCCAGCUCAGUCCCAAGAGGGCUGAGUUGCGGUGGCGGCGCGGCGGCGGGCGGCCUUGUCUGGGGCUCUUGGAUUAGCUUCAACCUCCCUUAUUCUCCUCCUCCCCAUUCUCUCCUUCUCCCAGCCCCCAGCUCCAUCUUCCCUGGGCUGCAGCCUCCGGGCACCUGUGGAGGAAGCCGCCGUCUCCGCCUCCCCGCCGGCUGUGAGAGGACAACUUGAAGUUUCCCUGAAUUGUUCUUGCCUCAUUGAGUGAGAAGAUGAGACCAAAAGGGAGAACCUAGGUGUACUGAACAUUUUUUUAAAAAUCCCAGAAGGUAAGUAGGUAGACUUUGUUUGCAUGGGCUGUGAUUUGUAGGAGGGUUUCAUUUUCUAGAGC
rnacentral:lncRNA from 1 species